rnacentral:tRNA from 4 species
UCCCCGGUCGCCCAAUGGCAGAACGAGCGGCUGCUAACCGCCAGGUUCCCGGUUCGAGUCCAGGUCGGGGAG